ACGGUCCGGACUCCUACGGGAGGCAGCAGUGGGGAAUCUUGCGCAAUGGGCGAAAGCCUGACGCAGCAACGCCGCGUGGAGGAUGAAGGCCCUUGGGUUGUAAACUCCUGUCGGUUGGGAAGAAAUCGUUCGGGGCGAAUACCCCCGGACGUUGACUGUACCAGCAAAGGAAGCCCCGGCUAACUCUGUGCCAGCAGCCGCGGUAAUACAGAGGGGGCCAGCGUUAUUCGGAAUUAUUGGGCGUAAAGGGCGCGUAGGCGGCCCUGCGUGUCUUCCGUGAAAUCCCUCGGCUUAACCGAGGACGUGCGGAAGAAACUGCGGGGCUCGAGUCCGGGAGAGGGGGGUGGAAUUCCCAGUGUAGCGGUGAAAUGCGUAGAUAUUGGGAGGAACACCGGUGGCGAAGGCGGCCCCCUGGACCGG
rnacentral:rRNA from 1 species